ACCCAGAUGGCGAAACUGGUAGACGCAGCAGAUUCAAAACCUGCCGAGAAAUCAUGUGGGUUCAAGUCCCACUCUGGGUA
rnacentral:tRNA from 1 species